UACGUAGGGUGCGAGCGUUGUCCGGAAUUGUUGGGCGGAAAGGGCUCGUAGGCGGUUUGUCGCGUCGGGAGUGAAAUCCACUGGCUUAACUGGUGGCUUGCUUUCGAUACGGGCAGACUGGAGGUAUGCAGGGGAGAACGGAAUUCCUGGUGUAGCGGUGAAAUGCGCAGACAUCAGGAGGAACACCGGUGGCGAAGGCGGGUCUCUGGGCAGUAACUGACGCUGAGGAGCGAAAGCGUGGGGAGCGAACAGG
rnacentral:rRNA from 1 species